CCUACGUGAGGCUGCAGUGGGGAAUAUUGCACAAUGGGGGAAACCCUGAUGCAGCGACGCCGCGUGAGUGAAGAAGUAAUUCGUUAUGUAAAGCUCUAUCAGCAGGGAAGAAAAUGACGGUACCUGAGUAAGAAGCCCCGGCUAACUACGUGCCAGCAGCCGCGGUAAUACGUAGGGGGCAAGUGUUAUCCGGAUUUACUGGGUGUAAAGGGAGCGUAGACGGCAGUGCAAGUCUGGAGUGAAAGGCUGGGGCUCAACCCCCGGACUGCUCUGGAAACUGUACGGCUGGAGUGCAGGAGAGGUAAGUGGAAUUCCUAGUGUAGCGGUGAAAUGCGUAGAUAUUAGGAGGAACACCAGUGGCGAAGGCGGCUUACUGGACUGUAACUGACGUUGAGGCUCGAAAGCGUGGGGAGCAAACAGGAUUAGAUACCCCUGUAGUC
rnacentral:rRNA from 1 species